UACGAAGGGGGCUAGCGUUGUUCGGAAUUACUGGGCGUAAAGCGCACGUAGGCGGAUAUUUAAGUCAGGGGUGAAAUCCCGGGGCUCAACCCCGGAGCUGCCUUUGAUACUGGGUAUCUCGAGUCCGAGAGAGGUGAGUGGAAUUCCGAGUGUAGAGGUGAAAUGUGUAGAGAUCGGGAGGAACACCGGUGGCGAAGGCGGGUCUCUGGGCAAUUCCUGACGCUGAGGCGCGAAAGCGUGGGGAGCAAACGGG
rnacentral:rRNA from 1 species